AAAUAACCUUGUAAUCAAGUUGGCGCCGCUGCCGGGGAGCAAUUGUGUUACCUAAGGAUUUAGGAUUAGUUUUUAGUCUUAAGCAAUUUUUUUUACAGUUUUUUAACUAACAAUUUUUCUUUCUUUUUGGUGAUUUAGGAGUGAUUGGCCAUGGAAUUCAAUGAUAGGCCACAAGAAGAAGAGGAUGAGCCAUAUAUAGAGCCACCAUUUGAUGAGAGUGUUCUUACACCGGAACAAAAAGUGAAGUUGGAUGGACUUUACGUGGAGAAUCCAACAUUGACAAGGAGUGAGUUAGCGACUAUGAUCCGGUUGAACCUCA
rnacentral:lncRNA from 1 species